rnacentral:rRNA from 1 species
UCAGGCCUAACACAUGCAGUCGAGCGGAACGACUUAUCUGAGCCUUCGGGGAACGAUAACGGCGUCGAGCGGCGGACGGGUGAGUAAUGCCUAAGAAAUUGCCCUGAUGUGGGGGAAAACCCUUGGAAACGAUGGCUAAUACCGCAUGAUGCCUACGGGGCAAAGAAGGGGAACUUCCGGCCUCCCCCCUCCAGAUAUGUCCUGGUGGGAUUAACUUAUUGGUGAAGUAAAGGCUCACCCAGGCGACGAACCCUAACUGGGCUGAAAAGAUGAUUCACCACACUGGAACUGACACCGGGUCCCAACUCCUACCGUAAGCAGCAUUGGAGAAUAUUGCACAAUGUGCGCAAGCCUGAUGCACCCAUGCCCCGUGUGUGAAAAAGGCCUUCUCGUUGUAAAGUACUUUUUCUCGUGAGGAAAGUAGUGUACUUAAUAGCUGCAUUAUUUGACGUUAUCGACAGAACAAGCACCGGCUAAUUCCUCGCCGCCAGCCGCGGUAAUACGGAGGGUGCUAGCGUUAAUCGGAAUUACUGGGCGUAAAGCGCAUGCCUGUGGGUUGUUAGUUCAGAUGUGAAAGCCCGGCGCUCGCUCUCCCAAUAGCAUUUGAAACUGGCUACUAGACUACUGUACAGGGGGGUAGAAUUUCAUGU